AUUGAACGCUGGCGGCAUGCUUUACACAUGCAAGUCGAACGGUAACAGGCCGCAAGGUGCUGACGAGUGGCGAACGGGUGAGUAAUGCAUCGGAACGUACCCAGUCGUGGGGGAUAACGCAGCGAAAGCUGCGCUAAUACCGCAUACGAUCUAUGGAUGAAAGCGGGGGACCGUAAGGCCUCGCGCGAUUGGAGCGGCCGAUGUCAGAUUAGGUAGUUGGUGGGGUAAAGGCUCACCAAGCCAACGAUCUGUAGCUGGUCUGAGAGGACGACCAGCCACACUGGGACUGAGACACGGCCCAGACUCCUACGGGAGGCAGCAGUGGGGAAUUUUGGACAAUGGGCGCAAGCCUGAUCCAGCAAUGCCGCGUGCAGGAAGAAGGCCUUCGGGUUGUAAACUGCUUUUGCACGGAACGAAACGGUCCUGGUUAAUACCCGGGGCUAAUGACGGUACCGUAAGAAUAAGCACCGGCUAACUACGUGCCAGCCGCCGCCGUAAAAC
rnacentral:rRNA from 1 species